AACCGGCGAACGGGUGCGUAACACGUGAGCAAUCUGCCGAUUUCUGGGGGGAUAGCCGGCCCAACGGCCGGGUAAUACCGCAUACGUUCUCGAGGGGGAGUCCUCUUGGGAAGAAACCUCCGGGGGAAAUCGAGGAGCUCGCGGCCUAUCAGCUAGUUGGCGGUGUAAUGGACCACCAAGGCUAUGACGGGUAGCUGGUCUGAGAGGAUGGCCAGCCACAUUGGGACUGAGAGACGGCCCAGACUCCUACGGGAGGCAGCAGUGGGGAAUCUUGCGCAAUGGCCGAAAGGCUGACGCAGCGACGCCGCGUGUGGGAUGAAGCAUUUCGGUGUGUAAACCACUGUUGCCCGGGACGAACAUCCUCUUUCGAGAGGACUGACGGUACCGGGUGAGGAAGCACCGGCUAACUCCGUGCCAGCAGCCGCGGUAAUACGGAGGGUGCGAGCGUUGUCCGGAAUCACUGGGCGUAAAGGGCGCGUAGGUGGCCUGUGGAAGUCUGCGGUGAAAGCCCGGCGCUCAACGCCGGGUCGGCCGUGGAUACUCUCGGGCUUGAGCUUACUAGAGGCAGAUGGAAUUCCGGGUGUAGCGGUGGAAUGCGUAGAGAUCCGGAAGAACACCGGUGGCGAAGGCGGUCUGCUGGGGUAAUGC
rnacentral:rRNA from 1 species